GUCAGUUCAUCACCAUCUCUCGCUCCGUCCAGUUGGAACUCUAAGAAGCAUUGAAUUCUCCUCCACCAUUACACAAGCGAUCGUCUUUUGUUUCUCAAGAACCUACAAGACCAAGCAAACGAUCGUCUUCUGUUUCUCAAGAACCCACAGGAGCAAGCAAGCAAGUGUCUUUUCAUCGUCUUUUACCCCUUCAAGAUGGACUUCAGAGCUCUAUGGCAUGACGGGACAGUGUACAUGUUUUGCCCCACCAUGGUCUGAUCACUAACUGGACGCGUGAUUGCUGGCUAAUAUACGGAGUCGACGUGUAUUGCCCCACCAUGGUCUGAUCACUAACUCGACUCGUGAUUGCUGGCUAAUAUACGGAGUCGACGUCUAUUGCCCCACCAUGGUCUGAUCACUAACUGGACGCGUGAUUGCUGGCUAAUAUACGGAGUCGACGUGUAUUGCCCCACCAUGGUCUGAUCACUAACUGGACUCGUGAUUGCUGGCUAAUAUACGGAGUCGACGUGUAUUGCCCCACCAUGGUCUGAUCACUAACUGGACUCGUAAUCACUAGCAAAUAUUCGGGGUUCCUAUGGUCGAUCUCUGAGUACUGCUGGGACCUCUGAAGUGUGUGUGUCUGUGUGUUUGUGUUGAAGAAGAUGGGAAGAGAAGAGGAUAGUGUUGAUGGUGAUGGGGUGUGAGGGGUGCUGUCACAACCAUCACCACCACCCUCACCAUCACGCAUCACCAUUUGAAGCUAUAUAUAUUACGAUGAACUUCACCCAAUCUCAAGCAACUACCAAGACUACUGCAACCUCUUCUGCCGCUACUAACAUCAUGAACUUCAUCAACAAAGGCAUCAAGUCGGGUCGAACUAAACUCUCCCGAAUCAUCCACGUCAAGCCAUGCCACGGGACCGACGAGAAGAACAAGGAGAACAUCGAUAUCUCAACUCGGCAUCCCCCAUCUCGGUCCCAAUCACCUCCAUCCCAUUCCUCGCUAACAAACAGCACUGAGGACGUGUUUGAGGACUCGCUACCGCCCCCUAAGCCGCCAAGUUCGAGUCUCCAAAGGCGGUCACGCUCUCUGGAUCGCCUACCAGCCUCCGGGACUUCGAGUGGCAGAAGAAAUUCCUACUUCGAUGUCACCCAGCACACGCAUAGUCAGUCCUUAGGGUCGCCAGAGCUCGCCCCGGUUUUCACAACGACUUAUAACACGAUUUUCUCCACCAUAACCGCGGGGAAUAAUAAUAAUAAUAAUAGUAAGAGUAUGUGUAUGAAUGGUAGUAUUAAUAAGAGGAACUUUAAUGGUAAUAAUAGCAAUGUGAGUAAGAAGAAUUUGAGCAUCCUGAGUGAUAAGUUUAAGACGGCUGAGUUUGCGUUUCAGAAGUCGCCGGUGAGGAGACGAGCGAACUGGUGAAGAGAGGAGAAGAAAAUGAAACUACGCAAAACUGAAAUUGAAAAGUAAGAUCAUACUACGAAAUACGAAAUGAAAUGUGAGAUAACGACACAAAAACAAAAAAAGACGGAGUUAAAGGGAAAGUCAAGCAAAAUAAAUUGAAGGAAAAUUGAAAUGUAACAAAAUGAACAACGAAAAAUGAAAUGAGAAAUGAGAUGACUGAAUGAAAAUGGUGAGGAAAAAGUGAGAUAAAAGAACGGGAAGAAAAAGACGUGAAGUUGAAGGGAGAGUCAAGCAAAUUAAUUGAAGGAAAAUUGAAAUGUAACAAAAUGAACAACGAAAAAUUAAAUGAAAAAUGAGAUGACAGAAUGAAAAUGGUAAGGAAAAAGUGAGAUAAAAGAACGAGAAAAAAGACGUGAAGUUGAAGGGAGAGUCAAGCAAAACAAAUUGAAGGAAAAUUGAAAUGUAACAAAAUGAACAACGAAAAAUUAAAUGAAAAAUGAGAUGACAGAAUGAAAAUUGUUUUGAAAAAGUGAGAUAAGAGAACGGGAAGAAAAAGACGUGAAGUGAAAAAGAUAAGGAACCAAAAGAAACUGAACGAAAAAAAAAAAUAGAUAAAAAAAAAGACGCUAAUCAUGACCUUUAGAUUCUGAACAGACGUGAAAAUGUAAAAAAAAAAAAAAACAAAAAAAGGCAGACUUCGAAAAACUCUCCAAAUAUUUCCAAAGUCUCUUGAACUAGCCUGAACUUAAAAACGAGUGCACAUACCAAUGAAAAUACAAACUAAGAGGCUCGGUGGCUAGCAACAAACAAAUAACAUUCGAUUCUGAACGCGCUGGAAAAUAUUUAAGCAAUUCUCGAGACUUCCCAAAAUAUAAGACGUACCAUGAAAAAAUAUACAAAAUCUCCAGGCCAAUAAACGUUUCUAACUCUACAAUACCACAUUUGAGGCUGUACUAAUGAAACUACAAACAUGAGGCUCGUUUUCCAAGAGUAUAAUGUGAACCCGUUGCGAUGGCUAACUCACCAAUGACUCUGACAAUGAACAUAACUUGGGGGCGCAUACCAGUGAGUGCGUGCGUGUGUGUUAAGGUGCGUGAAGGCAUGGUAAUGUUACGUGUGUUACUGACGUGUCGAGCGUGUGAAAAUAUGUCUAUGUAUGUGAUCCAUCGAGAUAUGGUGUGUGUGUGUGUGUGUGUGUAUGUGUGUUAUGUAAAUGUAAAGUAUGUUAAUAAAGUCUGAAUGUUGUAUUAGAGUAUGAAUUAUCCUUUCUCUC